CCUACGGGUGGCUGCAGUAGGGAAUAUUGCACAAUGGGCGAAAGCCUGAUGCAGCGACGCCGCGUGCAGGAUGACGGUUUUCGGAUUGUAAACUGCUGUUCUUAGUGAAGAAUAAUUACAGUAAGUAAUGAGUAAACCACGGCUAAAUAAUUUCCGACAGCCGCGGGAAUAAGUAGGUGGCAAGCGGUGACCGGAAUUACUGGGUGUAAAGGAAGCGUAGGCGGGUAGCCAAGUCAGUUGGUAAAACUCCGGGCUUAACCCGUGGACUGCAUUUGAUACUGGCAUACUAGAGGGAGGUAGAGGUAGGCGGAAUUCCGAGUGUAGCGGUGAAAUGCGUAGAUAUUCGGAAGAACACCGAUGGCGAAGGCAGCCAACUGGGCUUAAACUGACGCUGAGGCUCGAAAGUGUGGGGAGCAAACAGGAGUAGAUACCCCAGUAGUC
rnacentral:rRNA from 1 species